CGGAGCUUCCUGACCCCCAGCCCGGGAGCUGAGAGGGAUGCUGGAGCCCAGGCCAACCGCGCCCCGCCCUGGAGUGACUUUGCCCACCACAGUCGGCUGCCCAGCCCAUGGGCACUGCGCUCCAAAGGUAGAGAUGCGGCGUGGAGGGGGCGGCAUUGGGAGAGAGAGACAAGGGGUCCGAGGGCCCCGCCCGGGGCCUGCCCAGCCUGCCCUGAUUAAAAAAAACAACAAACUGAGCAAAUUAGGUGCAGAAGGAAUGUACCUCAACAUAAAAGUGUACAAAUUUCAGUUAUGCAAAAAAAAAGAAAACUGGACACUUGAAUAUAAUAAUGCAGUAACUCUGGAGAUGAGACUCUCCUCUUCCUCAGGGUUUGCUGUUUUGGAUUAUAUUUCAUAUAUAAUUAUAUAUAUUAUAUUAUAUAUAAUAUCUGUAUAAUAAUAUAUAUUAUUACAUAUAAUUAUAUUAUAUUACAUUAUAUUAUAUAUAUCAUAAUAUAUUAUAUAAUAUAUAUAAUAUUGUAUUAUUUAAUAAUAUAUAAUAUAUUCUGGCCAUUACAGUGAAACCCUGUCUCUACUACAAAUACAAAAAAUUAGCCAGGCAUGGUGGCAGCUGGUGUAGUCCCAGUGUGAAUUGGGAUUCAGUUUAUUCAGUUUAUUCCCAAAUUCCAAAUUAUAUAUAUAUAUAUAUAAUUUCCUUUUACAUCCUGCAUCCUUCAACGUUCCAUCCCCCACCCCACAGAUUAAGUUAUUCCCCAGGGGAGAAUAUGGCAAAGUCUAUUUUAAUGCAGUUUUUAACCCAAUUAAGAACCUAUGAAAUCAUUACUUUCCAAAACUUUGGAACAAAGCCACAGUAGUAUGGAUCCGUUGGAGGCUUUUCACACAAUAAAAUGUACAUCUCUUUGUUUUUAACAUGUUUUUCCCUUCCUCUCUUCUUUUUUUGUGAAAUGUGUAUUUACUUUAAUAUAUUUGUAGUAAGUCACUUCCAUGCACAUAUUAAUUUUUUAAAGUAAUAAGUAUGUGUAUUGUCUACGUGUGAAAGAAAACACACAUUUAUUUUUAUGCCUUGGAAGUUAUCCAGAAUCAUGGAAUUGUCAAUCACAGUCAAUCACCCAACCUACUCACCUUUCCAGUGUAAUCUUAGUCAAAUUUUUUUUUUGUUAUCCAAUGAGAUGCAGUAUUUCAACUCAGAAAGAUAAAUAGAGUGAAUUUAUAGAGACUAUUAACUAAGAACAUACAGUUUUAUUUAUACUCAGAAGCAAGUAGAUUAUGUACAUAUAUAUGAAGAUAAAAAUUAAAAGGAUAAUUGUGUAAAUUUGCAUGUAGAGGGCUUUGAAAACCUGUUUACUUGUUAAUGCUGUUUUGAUGUAUUGUGUCUUUGUUCUCCCGACCCAUCGUCCAGAGCUCUCUGCAGGAGCUAAGUGCUCAUCAGUUCCAUGACUUGGAAACUGUCUAAGUUUAGAGGCACUUGUAUUUGUUAGUAAAUAAGGCAAGAUGAUAUUGUUUCACAGGUUUUAGUGCCGAAGACUGAAUAGAUAAGCUGCUCCACCCAGUACACUGGUGUUCAUUUCAUGGUCAUCUCAUCUGUUAACCAUGGAUAUAAAACAUUUAUCUUCAAUGAUGGGGUUUUACCAUGUUGGUCAGGCUGGUCUCGAACUCCUGACCUCAAAUGAUCCACCCACCUCCACCUUCCAAACUGCUGGGAUUACAGGUGUGAGCCACUAUGCCUGACUGAUUAUUUUCAUAACCAAGAAAAGAAAUAAAUACAAUUAAUGCUGGUGCAUGGUAUUAAAUCUAGUUUUUAAAAAAUUCACACAUAAACAAGGCAGAACCCUAUACCCUCCAUGAUAAAUGCAGUAGCAGUGUAUGUGGGUCUGUGGAGGUUGAAAGGGACUUGGUAGAUGUCAAGAAGGUAGUGGCAGUCCUGCUGGGCUUUUAAAGGGUCUGAAGAAGUGACAGGAUGCUGUGGUUGAAUCCUAGCAUGUAUUUUAGCAUUUGUUCAUUUGGAGUUGAUUAUUUCACGUUGCUUUCAUUUGCCAUUACCUGGAAAGCCAAGGGCUCUACUCUCAUUUCCUUGCUGCUCUUUCUUUGCCUUCCUUGGUCCGUGAAGAAGAUGGUCCAGGAGAAGCUCAUUCCAUGCUUGUUAACCAGGCACGCCCCUAAGUUCCAGUCCCUGAGUCAUUCAUGAGUAGCACUGCCAAUGAACUGACAGCCAUGCUGUGUCCCUCCACAUCCCCUAGGUGACUCGAAGAAGCCUUCCAAAAAGCGUGUGAAAAGGAAGCCCUACUCUACUACCAAGGUAAAGUAGCCUGUCUUUGCCUAAGAUGUAAAUGUUGUUUUCUUGGAUCCUUUAUUUUUCAGUUGAUAUCAGCUAUGGGAAAAUUCUCCACUACAUUAUAGGUGUUAGAUAAUAUUUCCUUGGGGAUGGAGGAGGUGUAUUUUACCAACUGACACCUGAUUCCAGAGGACGUGCAAAAUUGGCAGUGUCAGAUAGUACACUGGGUGUUAAGGGAUGUUUUCUUCAGGAACAAGCUUUCCACUUUAGAUAAGAAUUCUGCAAUUGCUACUCAAAAAUUACCUAGACAGAAAACCCAGCACAACUCUCAGUGCCAUGUUUCUUAAUUUAACAAAUCAGACCACAUACUUUACUUACAUUAGUUCAUCUAUGCCUGGAAUUACCCACGCCUGCAGAGAUCCCAAACGACACUCAGUGGAUUUACACACACAGCGUUGAAGAGUAAGGCUGGGCUUCGUUAUUUAUACAUUUUCAAUAAAUGAUGAUCUUCAUAACAUAAAAUCAAUGAUGUAGUACACUAGAAUACUGUCCCUAGUAUUGAAUCUUGUCUCUCAGCAAAGGGUGUACAAUUAAAUGAAAUGGCUAGUAUAGUCUUGAAACCAAAUCCAGAUAAGGUAAAUUAAAUUCUGUGAUAUUUUAAAAUACUUUAAAUUCUGACUAAUGUGAGUUAAUCUCAACAUAUGAAAUAGUAGAUUAACAUUGAAAAUGCAAUAAAUAAAAUUAGCUACCUCAAGAGUUUAAUGGAAAAAAAUGUGAUUAUUGCAAUAGAUUCAGGAAAUUCAUGAAUAACAUUCACCCUAUAUUUGUAGGACAACUAUCUGAUUAACUUUAAGUGACCUGUGACAACCACUUGAAUUAAUGCUGCUUUCACAGCAUAUCUCUUGGCUUGUUAAAAACCCGACAAGAAUUUCCGUAACAUUAUUUUUAACACCUAUAUUGGGUGUGAACCCACCAUAAAGUUUGCCCACUGAAAAGGUCUAGAAUUUGAUGCUUUAUU
rnacentral:lncRNA from 1 species